UCUGCAAGUUUAUAAUUACUUUCCUUAUUAGCUUUCCCUACUAACUAACUUUGUAAAUAAUAUAUUAAGUAUGUAAAUAAAUAAAUUUAUAAACAUUAUACCUUUCAAUGUAAGGGACAAAUCAAUAUGAUCCAUUUUGCCUAUGGAAAGAAUGAAGUUAAUAUCAAUAGGUACAAGAACUGAAAUGAUUGCUACUCCUAAAAACUGAGAUUUUUUUCCCUAUAAAAGGUUAUGCCAAUUCAGUCCUAUGCAUGUUGUGAUAAUUUAGUAAUUUUUAUUGUGAAUGUCCUUCUUUUAGCAUCCCUGUUUCAUUCUCUUUUUUGCAUGCUUUGUAGAAAUCUCUUCUUCUUCCUUCUGUAGUUGCAUGAAGAUGCUCAUACUUUAUGUGUAGAUUGGAAAACUCUCCUGGUUAGUACAUUUUAUUUUUGAAGAGCCUUCUACAUUGUCAGAACUGAACAAAAGAACAAUUGCAAGAUUUAUAUUAUUUAUUGACCUAUCCAUAACAUCAACAGACUCAUAAAAACUUGAGAGUAUUUGCCAAAUGAACUUCAAUUUAAAUGUUAGUUGGUCAUCACUGUCCAUGCUUCAAAAAUGCUGCUCUGAAAAAAAAAGGAACUGUGAUUUCUAUCCCACACAGCGGUAAUAAUAGAAGUUGGUGACGUUCCCGGCCACAAAAAUUAUCUCACUUCAUUAAUAAUAUUAGUGUGUAGAAAUAAAAUUCUCCCACAGUGAUCGUAAAGACACGAAUCCCAGCAGAACACUGAAGUUAAGCAUCACCGGCUGCCGUCAGUAAGAGGGUGGGUGACCACUUAGAUCAGCCUGCGUAUGGACCGAGGGUGCUUGGUAUCAGUCCUUGUUAGACUAUUCUACAGUAAAGUAAUAGACUUAGCCCGCAGGUCGUCUGGCUAUCAAGGAAGAAGAUCAAAGUUGCGAUGAGUGUUGGCAUUGAUAAGGGCAGUAUACCUGAUCUAACCAAGGCUUCGUGUCCUUUGCUAGAAGAAAUGGAAAAUCACCUUACAUAUAUUUGGAAGGAAAAAAAAGUCAAACAGUUGCCAAGACAAAUUCAGUUCAGUGUGCAGUGUCUGCUCUGAGCUCUACUAGUUCUGCUUUAGCAAACAGUGCUCAUGAAAUCUCUCACGAGCUGAAUGGCCUGACAGUGGAUGAGAGUAUGAGGAGGGCUGUUGAAGAAGAAGCUGCCAUCAUGAAUCAAUUGAAGGUUGUAUAAUCACUUGUAAAAGUUGCAUGAAUCUCGCUGCAUUUCAUAUUUUGAGCAUUCGGGAAUGCCUAUUAAUGACCAUUAAAAUCGUCUCAAAGGA
rnacentral:misc_RNA from 1 species